CAAUAGCGUAUAUUAACGUUGUUGCAGUUAAAAAGCUCGUAGUUGGAUUUCUGGAGGGAGCGUCGGCCCGUAUUUACGAGUGCGUGACGUCUCUGUCCAUCCUUGCGGGAAGGCACGGCAUUGAUUUGUUGUGUCGGAUCGCAUCAUUUACUGUGAAAAAAUUAGAGUGUUCAAAGCAGGCUUUCGCUUGAAUACAUUAGCAUGGAAUAAUGGAAUAGGACUUUUGCCUCUUCUGUUGGUCAUGAGGCUCGAGUAAUGAUUAAUAGGGAUAGUUGGGGGCAUUAGUACUUAACUGUCAGAGGUGAAAUUCUCGGAUUUGUUAAAGACUAACUUAUGCGAAAGCAUUUGCCAAGGAUGUUUUCAUUAA
rnacentral:rRNA from 1 species